UCCCUGAUAGCUCAGAUGGUAAAGAGUCUGCCUGCAAUGCAGGAGACUCAGGUUCGAUCCCUGGGUCGGGAG
rnacentral:tRNA from 1 species